rnacentral:tRNA from 1 species
GCGGAUAUGGCGGAAUCGGCAGACGCGCUGGCUUCAGGUGCCAGUGGUAGCAAUACCGUGCAAGUUCAAGUCUUGUUAUCCGCA